CCAGCGCCCUUGCCCGCCACCCCUAGCCCCAGCCAGGAAGGAGAUGGCAGGUGUCCCCGCCGCUGUCGAGGGGUCAGGCCGCGGUGGGAAGCGCGAGGAGCCAGGUUUGGUUGCAGGGGGAUAAUCCUAAACCUCAGUGCUGUGAAGAUUAAAUGAGAUACGGGAAAUGUUUGCAACAGUGUCUGGCACUCAGUGAGUGCCAGGCUGGAGUGAAGUGGCGCGGUCUCAGCUCACUGCAACCUCCGCUUCCCGGUUUCAAGCGAUUCUCCUGCCUCUCAGCCUCUCAAGUAGCCGGAUUACAGGCGCCCACCACCAUGCCUGGCUAAUUUUGUUUUUUUAGUAGAGAUGGGGUUUCGCCAUAUUGCCCAGGCUGGUCUUGGACUCCUGACCUCAGGUCGUCCUCCCGCCUCAGCCUCCCAAAAUGCUGGGAUUAUAGGCAUGAGCCACCACGUCCAGCCAAGAUCUUCAUGCUUUUAAAUAGUUAGGCAAUGUUUGUUUGUUUUUAAUUAAAC